AUUGAACGCUGGCGGCAGGCCUAACACAUGCAAGUCGAACGAGUGGCGGACGGGUGAGUAAUGUCCGGGAAACUGCCUGAUGGAGGGGGAUAACUACUGGAAACGGUAGCUAAUACCGCAUACCACCGGAUGUGCCCAGUUGGGAUUGGCUAGUAGGUGGGGUAAAGGCUCACCUAGGCGACGAUCCCUAGCUGGUCUGAGAGGAUGACCGUCCCCACAGAAGCUGUGCCACGGUCCGAACUCCUGCGGGAGGCAGCAGUGUGGAGUAUUGCACAAUGGGCGCAGGCCUGAUGCAGCCGUGCCGCGUAUAUGAAGCAGGCCUUCGGGUUGUGAAGUACUUUCAGCUAGGGGGCGUUACCCGCAGAAGAGUCACCGGCUAACUCCAUGCCAGCAGCCGCGGUAAUUC
rnacentral:rRNA from 1 species